rnacentral:rRNA from 1 species
CCGCAAGGGCAACCGGCGAACGGGUGCGUAACACGUGAGCAACCUGCCUUUGUGUGGGGGAUAGCCGGGCUAACGCCCGGGUAAUACCGCAUACGGUUCUCGAGGGGAGUCCCUUGAGAAAGAAACCUCCGGGGUACGAAGAGGGGCUCGCGGCCUAUCAGCUAGUUGGCGGGGUAAUGGCCCACCAAGGCGACGACGGGUAGCUGGUCUGAGAGGAUGGCCAGCCACAUUGGGACUGAGAGACGGCCCAGACUCCUACGGGAGGCAGCAGUGGGGAAUCUUGCGCAAUGGCCGAAAGGCUGACGCAGCGACGCCGCGUGUGGGAGGACGCCUUUCGGG